rnacentral:rRNA from 1 species
GUGAAUGCUAGCGGCGUGGAUAAGGCAUGCAAGUCAAGGGGGCCAGCAAUGGCAACCGGCAGACGAGGUAGUAAUACGCAGGUACGCACCGAGAAGUCGGGCAUAGCUCGCCGAAAGGCGGGGUAAUUCCCGAUAGUUCCCGCGAGGGUAAAGGAGCAAUCCGCUUUUUGAGCGGCCUGCGGGGCAUCAGCUAGUUGGUAAGGUAAUGGCUUACCAAGGCUACGACGCCUAGGGGACCUGAGAGGGUGACCCCCACCGAUGGGACUGAGACACGGCCCAUACAUCUACGGAUGGCUGCAGUCGAGAAUAUUUGGCAAUGGGCGAAAGCCUGACCAUGCGACGCCGCGUGCUGGACGAAGUCCUUAGGGACGUAAACAGCUUUUAUGCGUGAAGAAGUAAUUGACAUUAGCGCAUGAAUAAGGGGCUCCUAACUCUGU